UACGAGCGGCCCAAACGUUAUUCGGAUUUACUGGGCUUAAAGAGUUCGUAGGCGGCGCAGAAAGUAGGGUGUGAAAGCCCUCGGCUCAACCGAGGAAUUGCGCUCUAAACUACUGUGCUCGAGGGACCUAGAGGUGAGCGGAACUGAUGGUGGAGCGGUGAAAUGCGUUGAUAUCUGGAGGAACACCGAUGGCGAAGGCAGCCUCCUGGGCCGACACUGACGCUGAGGGCACGAAAGCGUGGGGAGCAAACAGG
rnacentral:rRNA from 1 species